rnacentral:lncRNA from 1 species
GCAUAAUUGUCACCCUCUUAGCAUGAAUUGCACACAGAUUGGUGUCCUCAAACAAUCCAACCAGGUAAGCCUCAGCUGCUUCCUGAAGUGCAAGAACUGCAUGGCUCUGGAAUCUCAGAUCCGUCUAUAACAACAAGAAUAGCAAUAUUAAUCAGAAAAAUAUCAACAUAAACAAAUACUAGUGAUUAAAUAAACCAAAGAGGAACAAGAUUUCACACAAAAUCGUUUAUGAAGGUAAGUAACAAAAUUUACCUUGAAAUCUUGAGCAAUUUCACGGACAAGACGCUGAAAUGGAAGCUUGCGGAUCAAAAGCUCAGUACUCUUCUGGUACUUACGGAUCUCACUGUAAAUCAUAUCAAUCGAAAAUUAACAACAACGAAAACCUAAAUUCAUAAACCGAAAUUUCAAAACUCCAAAUUCCUAUAAAUUAUUAAUCCAAAAUUCGAAUUCAAAGUUUGAAAACAUCAAAUUCAUCAAUCGAAUAUUCAAAACAAAACGAAAACCUAAAGAAAUCAAUAAUAGAAACUGCAAAACUCCGAAAACCUAAAAAUUAGGGGAAAAGGAAAUUACCGAAGAGCAACGGUUCCAGGGCGGUAACGGUGAGGUUUCUUUACUCCACCUGUAGUAGGAGCAGAUUUCCUAGCAGCCUGAACGAAAAAAGCGAUGAAAUCAAUCGAAAAAUUCGAAUCGAAGAAAACAAAACUCUAUAAUCGAGAAAACAAAAAACAAAACUGUUACGGCGGUGAACGGUG